CUGGCGGCGUGCCUAACACAUGCAAGUCGAACGAUCUUUGAUUAUAGCAAUAUCUAUAAAGAGGAGUGGCGAACGGGUGAGUAACACGUAGAUAAUCUGCCUUCAGACGGGGACAACUCAGGGAAACUUGUGCUAAUACCCGAUGAGACCACAAGAAGGGAUUUUUGUGGCCAAAGGCGGGCAGCAAUGCUCGUGCUGAAAGAUGAGUCUGCGUCCUAUCAGCUAGUUGGUGGGGGUAAAUGCCUACCAAGGCUAAGACGGGUAGCCGGCCUGAGAGGGUGAACGGCCACACUGGGACUGAGACACGGCCCAGACUCCUACGGGAGGCAGCAGUGAGGAAUUUUCCGCAAUGGGCGCAAGCCUGACGGAGCGACGCCGCGUGAGGGAUGACAGCUUUCGGGUUGUAAACCUCUUUUAUUAAGGAAAAAGAUCUAUAUGCUAAUAUCAUGUAGAUUUGAUGGUACUUAUUGAAUAAGCCCCGGCUAACUACGUGCCAGCCGCGGC
rnacentral:rRNA from 1 species